UACGUAGGGAGCAAGCGUUGUCCGGAAUCAUUGGGCGUAAAGAGCGCGUAGGUGGCUUUAUAAGUCCGUUGUGAAAGUCAAAGGCUCAACCUUUGAAAGCCGAUGGAUACUGUGAAGCUAGAGUACGGAAGAGGCGAGUGGAAUUCCUGGUGUGGCGGUGGAAUGCGCAGAUAUCAGGAGGAACACCAAUAGCGAAGGCAGCUCGCUGGGACGUACUGACACUGAGGCGCGAAAGCGUGGGGAGCGAACAGG
rnacentral:rRNA from 1 species